rnacentral:rRNA from 1 species
GAGGGAAAGAUGAAAAGCACUUUGGAAAGAGAGUUAAACAGUACGUGAAAUUGUUGAAAGGGAAACGAUUGAAGUCAGUCAUGCUCUUUGGUAUUUAUAUCAUUGAGUGGGGUCAACAUCAGUUUU